GAUUAUUUAGCCUAACAGGUAGGGUGUGGUGCUAUAAACGCCAGAGGUAGCAGGCUCGAAACCUGCUUUAAUCA